GGAACAUACCCUAGAGUGGGGGAUAACGUAGCGAAAGUUACGCUAAUACCGCAUACGCACUAAGGUGGAAAGUGGGGGAUCUUCGGACCUCAUGCUCAUGGAGUGGCCGAUAUCUGAUUAGCUAGUUGGUGAGGUAAAGGCUCACCAAGGCGACGAUCAGUAGCUGGUUUGAGAGAACGACCAGCCACACUGGAACUGAGACACGGUCCAGACUCCUACGGGAGGCAGCAGUGGGGAAUUUUGGACAAUGGGGGCAACCCCUGAUCCAGCAAUGCCGCGUGAGUGAAGAAGGCCUUCGGGUUGUAAAGCUCUUUUGUCAGGGAAGAAACGGUGAGUUCUAAUAAAGCUUGCUAAUGACGGUACCUGAAGAAUAAGCACCGGCUAACUACGUG
rnacentral:rRNA from 1 species